AUUGAACGCUGGCGGCAGGCCUAACACAUGCAAGUCGAGCGCGCGGCGGACGGGUGUGUAAUGUCUGGGAGACUGCCUGAUGGGGGGGGAUAACUACUGUAAACGGUAGCUAAUACCGCAUACCCUCAGAUAUGCCCCGAUGGGAUUAGCUCGUGGGUGGGGUAACGGCUCACCUAGGCGACGAUCCCUAGCUGGUCUGAGAGGAUGACCAGCCACACUGGAACUGAGACACGGUCCAGACUCCUACGGGAGGCAGCAGUGGGGAAUAUUGCACAAUGGGCGCAAGCCUGAUGCAGCCAUGCCGCGUGUGUGAAGAAGGCCUUCGGGUUGUAAAGUACUUUCAGCGGGGAGGCGUUACCCGCAGAAGAAGCACCGGCUAACUCCGUGCCAGCAGCCGCGGUAAUUC
rnacentral:rRNA from 1 species